rnacentral:misc_RNA from 1 species
GAUGAAGAACGCAGCGAAAUGCGAUAAGUAAUGUGAAUUGCAGAAUUCAGUGAAUCAUCGAAUCUUUGAACGCACAUUGCGCCCCUUGGUAUUCCGAGGGGCAUGCCUGUUCGAGCGUCAUUAUAACCCCUCAAGCUCAGCUUGGUGUUGGGGCCUGCUGCACUGGCAGCCCUUAAAAUCAGUGGCGGCGCCGUCUGGCUCUAAGCGUAGUAAUUCUUCUCGCUAUGGAGUCCUGGUGGAUGCUUGCCAUCAACCCCCAAUUUUUCUAUGGUUGACCUCGGAUCAGGUAGGGAUACCCGCUGAACUUAAGCAUAUCAAUAAGCGGAGA